UACAGAGGGGCAAGCGUUGUUCGGAAUUACUGGGCGUAAAGGGCGCGUAGGCGGCCUGUUAAGUCGAACGUGAAAUCCCCGGGCUCAACCCGGGAACUGCGUCCGAUACUGGCAGGCUUGAAUCCGGGAGAGGGAUGCGGAAUUCCAGGUGUAGCGGUGAAAUGCGUAGAUAUCUGGAGGAACACCGGUGGCGAAGGCGGCAUCCUGGACCGGCAUUGACGCUGAGGCGCGAAAGCCAGGGGAGCAAA
rnacentral:rRNA from 1 species